rnacentral:rRNA from 1 species
CGCGACCCCAGGUCAGGCGGGACUACCCGCUGAGUUUAAGCAUAUCAAU